AUUGAACGCUGGCGGCAGGCCUAACACAUGCAAGUCGAACGGUAGCACAGAGAGCUUGCUCUCGGGUGACGAGUGGCGGACGGGUGAGCAAUGUCUGGGAAACUGCCCGAUGGAGGGGGAUAACUACUGGAAACGGUAGCUAAUACCGCAUAACGUCGCCAGACCAAAGUGGGGGACCUUCGGGCCUCACACCAUCGGAUGUGCCCAGAUGGGAUUAGCUAGUAGGUGGGGUAAUGGCUCACCUAGGCGACGAUCCCUAGCUGGUCUGAGAGGAUGACCAGCCACACUGGAACUGAGACACGGUCCAGACUCCUACGGGAGGCAGCAGUGGGGAAUAUUGCACAAUGGGCGCAAGCCUGAUGCGGCCAUGCCGCGUGUAUGAAGAAGGCCUUCGGGUUGUAAAGUACUUUCAGCGGGGAGGAAGGCGGUGGAGUUAAUAACUUCACCGAUUGACGUUACCCGCAGAAGAAGCACUGGCUAACUCCGUGCCAGCCGCCGCCGUAA
rnacentral:rRNA from 1 species